rnacentral:ncRNA from 1 species
AGAACUGAUGAUUUGAGGAGUGAAAUGAUGGCGUAACGUCCUGAAGCGCUCCCUCUGAUACUCCGAUUGGCAGUUUUCUUGGUUAGAAUAAGAAUUGUCAAGAGCUCGGUGAAGUCGGCUGAGAGUUACCGCAGUUGCAUUGCUGCAAUCGAAAGCUGUCCAGCGGUGGAUAGUGUAACCUAUAGGCCGGGAGUCCAAAAA